GACGAACGCUGGCGGCGUGCUUAACACAUGCAAGUCGAACGGAAAGGCCCUGCUUUUGUGGGGUGCUCGAGUGGCGAACGGGUGAGUAACACGUGAGUAACCUGCCCUUGACUUUGGGAUAACUUCAGGAAACUGGGGCUAAUACCGGAUAGGAGCUCCUGCUGCAUGGUGGGGGUUGGAAAGUUUCGGCGGUUGGGGAUGGACUCGCGGGUUAUCAGCUUGUUGGUGGGGUAGUGGCUUACCAAGGCUUUGACGGGUAGCCGGCCUGAGAGGGUGACCGGCCACAUUGGGACUGAGAUACGGCCCAGACUCCUACGGGAGGCAGCAGUGGGGAAUAUCGCACAAUGGGCGGAAGCCUGAUGCAGCAACGCCGCGUGCGGGAUGACGGCCUUCGGGUUGUAAACCGCUUUCGCCUGUGACGAAGCGUGAGUGACGGUAAUGGGUAAAGAAGCACCGGCUAACUACGUG
rnacentral:rRNA from 1 species